UCCAGACUCCUACGGGAGGCAGCAGUGGGGAAUAUUGCACAAUGGGCUCAAGCCUGAUGCAGCCAUGCCGCGUGUAUGAAGAAGGCCUUAGGGUUGUAAAGUACUUUCAGCGGGGAGGAAGGUGUUGUGGUUAAUAACCACAGCAAUUGACGUUACCCGCAGAAGAAGCACCGGCUAACUCCGUGCCAGCAGCCUCGGUAAUACGGAGGGUGCAAGC
rnacentral:rRNA from 1 species